rnacentral:rRNA from 1 species
UACGGGGGGUGCAAGCGUUACUCGGAAUCACUGGGCGUAAAGGGAGCGUAGGCGUCCGGAUCAGUCUCCUGUGAAAUCCACCGGCUCAACCGGUGAACUGCAGGAGAAACUACCCGGAUAGAGUAUGGAAGAGGUCAGUGGAAUGGGUGGUGUAGGGGUAAAAUCCGUAGAGAUCACCCGGAAUACCAACGGCGAAGGCAACUGACUGGGACAUUACUGACGCUGAGGCUCGAAAGCGUGGGGAGCAAACAGG